UGGGGAAUAUUGCACAAUGGGCGCAAGCCUGAUGCAGCCAUGCCGCGUGUAUGAAGAAGGCCUUCGGGUUGUAACGUACUUUCAGUAGGGAGGAAGGUGGUAAGGUUAAUAACCUUAUCAAUUGACGUUACCGACAGAAGAAGCACCGGCUAACUCCGUGCCAGCAGCCGCGGUAAUACGGAGGGUGCAAGCGUUAAUCGGAAUAACUGGGCGGAAAGCGCACGCAGGCGGUUGAUUGAGUCAGAUGUGAAAUCCCCGGGCUGAACCCGGGAAUUGCAUCUGAUACGGGUCAGCGAGAGUAUUGUAGAGGGGGGUAGAAUUCCAUGUGUAGCGGUGAAGUGCGGAGAGAUGUGGAGGAAUACCGGUGGCGAAGGAGGCCCCCUGGACAAAGACUGACGCUCAGGAGCGAAGGCGGGGGAGCAAACAGG
rnacentral:rRNA from 1 species